CCGGCCCUCCGCGAGCACCCGCGGGGGAUCGGGUUCCGGACCCGGUCCGAUCCCGUUCCCACCGAGGGGCUGUCCGCGAUCAUGGAGGUGUCCUCGGACGGCGUCGAAUCCUUCUCCAGUCCGCGACGCUACGGCUUGGAUGGUCCACCCGACCCGUCUUGAAACACGGACCAAGGAGUCUAACAUGCGCGCGAGUCGUUGGGUCGGACACGCUCCGCUAAACCCAUAGGCGCAAUGAAAGUGAAGGCCGCCGUCGGGCGGCCGAGGGAGGACGGGGCCGCUCGCGCGUUCCGACGCGCGACGGUCUCCGCACCCCCGGGGCGUCUGAUCCCUCAUCGCGAGGGGAGGCGCACCCAGAGCGCACACGUUGGGACCCGAAAGAUGGUGAACUAUGCCUGGCCAGGACGAAGUCAGGGGAAACCCUGAUGGAGGUCCGUAGCGAUUCUGACGUGCAAAUCGAUCGUCGGAGCUGGGUAUAGGGGCGAAAGACUAAUCGAACCAUCUAGUAGCUGGUUCCCUCCGAAGUUUCCCUCAGGAUAGCUCGCGCUCGGAGGAGAGUCUCAUCCGGUAAAGCGAAUGAUUAGAGGCCUUGGGGCCGAAACGGCUUCAACCUAUUCUCAAACUUUAAAUGGGUGAGAACUCCGGCUUGCUCGACUUGUCGAAGCCGGAGACGGGGCUCCGGCCCCCGGGAUCGGAGUGCGUAGUGGGCCACUUUUGGUAAGCAGAACUGGCGCUGUGGGAUGAACCAAACGACGGGUUAAGGCGCCCGAAUCGACGCUCAUGGGAAACCAUGAAAGGUGUUGGUUGCUUAAGACAGCAGGACGGUGGCCAUGGAAGUCGGAAUCCGCUAAGGAGUGUGUAACAACUCACCUGCCGAAGCAACUAGCCCUGAAAAUGGAUGGCGCUGAAGCGUCGUGCCUAUACCCGGCCGUCGCGGCAGGGCGGACCCGCGAGGGUGCCGUUCGAUGCGGCGACGAGUAGGAGGGUCGCGGCGGCGCGCGCAGAAGGGUCUGGGCUCGAGCCUGCCUGGAGCCGCCGCCGGUGCAGAUCUUGGUGGUAGUAGCAAAUACUCCAGCGAGGCCCUGGAGGACUGAUGUGGAGAAGGGUUUCGUGUGAACAGCCGUUGCACACGAGUCAGUCGAUCCUAAGCCCUAGGAGAAAUCCGACGCCAACGGCGACGGGAAAAAUGAAAGAGAAAGAAACCCGUUGAUCGGGCGAAAGGGAAUCCGGUUCCUAUUCCGGAACCCGGCAGCGGAACCGCUGUUUGUCGGGCCCUCACAAGGGGUUCGUCAGGGUAACCUAAAAGGGCCCGGAGACGCCGUCGGGAGCCCCGGAAAGAGUUUUCUUUUCUGCAUGAGCGUUCGAGUUCCCUGGAAUCCU
rnacentral:rRNA from 1 species